AAAUUAUUAUUUAAAGAGGGUUUAAAGAGGCCUUUAUGGGGUUUACUUAUGCUAAUUGGGUGAUUUG
rnacentral:tRNA from 1 species